rnacentral:rRNA from 1 species
ACGUAGGGUGCGAGCGUUGUCCGGAAUUAUUGGGCGUAAAGAGCGUGUAGGCGGCCUGGUAGGUCUGCUGUGAAAACUCGAGGCUCAACCUCGAGAUGUCGGCGGAAACCACCUGGCUAGAGUCCGGAAGAGGAGAGUGGAAUUCCUGGUGUAGCGGUGAAAUGCGCAGAUAUCAGGAAGAACACCUAUGGCGAAGGCAGCUCUCUGGGACGGUACUGACGCUGAGACGCGAAAGCGUGGGGAGCGAACAGGA